GUUGCUGCUUUACUGGAAGAUUAAUUUGCAGAUGAAUUGGAUUGAUGUGCUUAAUCUUUUAUACAAGUAUGUGAAAUAUUUGGGUUUCUGUUUUGUUUUGGUUAUUGUUAUUGACUUAUUGUAUAUGUUAAUAUAUUGUUAAAGCAUCGUGGCUCGAUUUCGAUUACAUUGUUUUUGAGGGAAGAGAUGGGAAAUAAGGGGAAGAAGAAAUAUUUGUCUGGGUGGAGCACAAAAGGAUAUUUUUCAUGCCCUAAUUGUCACUAUGACACUGAUUAAACAUUGUAUCAGCAAUGGUUUGUUGUUAUAGGGUUCGAAAAUUUCUUGAGAAAACCAGGUGGGUUUAUCCGGUUCUCAUAAAACUAAGGACAAUUCUAGGGUUCGGGUGAUUGAUCAUGAAUGUAUAAUCAAAUCGGUUUUCUCAUCAAAACAACUCUCCAAGUAAAAUUUAUACUAACUUUGUUCACAAAGAGUUUGAUGAAUUUUUUUGGAAAUUGAAGUUAAGGAGCUCGAAUUAAUUGCGCCAUGUUUUGUACUUAUGCUAUUGGUUUAUUGUUAUUUAGAUACUAUGAGGAUGAAUUUGAUUAUCAUAUUCUUCAAUAAUACAAGAUUGAUAUCGUAUGAUCGGCAACAUUGUAUUCGUGAUUGUUUAGGGUCGUUCCUGAAAGAAAUAUCACCUCUUUUGAUGUCAGGAUUAUAGUAAGAACUUAGCGACUCUUCAGCCUAUAUAUGAUCCAAUUUACUACUAGUUAGUAUGGCGCUUGAAGGAAAUGUAUUCUGCUUUUAAUUUCAAGAAUAAGAUUGAGAUUACAAUGACCUUUCAUCAUGUGGUUGCAGUUAAUUAUGAUUGCACUUGAAAGAAAUAUCCUUUGCUUUUAAUGUCAGGAGUAAGAUUGAGAAGUUAGUGACCCUUCACAGUUCACCCUGUAGUCGAUUUUAGUCAAGACUCAGGAUCGAGCAUGAAAGCAAUAACCUCUCAUACAUGAGGAAUAAGAUUUAGUGACCCUUCACCAAUGGAAUUUAGUCAGGAUUUCGCUUGACAUCUCAUAAUAUUUGGAGUAAGAUUGAGAAUUUAGUGACCUAGCUUCACUCUAUUCAUUAACUAACUCUUAUAACGUUUUAGUGAAUUCAGGAUCUAAAGUAAUUUUGCACUAGUCAUCUCUCUUAUAAGUCUUUAUCCUGGUUAUAUUUCAAGUUUUGAACUUGUGUUCUUAUUCAGGUUCUGUGUUGGAGUUUGGUGGCUUUCCUGCUUCUCUAGAACCGUCUUAGUUAAAUUAGAUAAUUAUAACAAAGAUAGAGAAUUUACUGAAUGGACGCUGCAUUUACCUGGUUGGUUAGUUCCUGAUUGGCAUAUGUUAUUAGUUUAAUAAAAUUUAAUUUUCUCUAGAUAUAACUCAUCAAAUUUAUGUGCAAGUAUGAUGGGAUCUGGGAAAACAACUAUUGGUGGGGUUGUGUUCGAAGCACUUAAGUUAUUUGUUUUCUGAUAGGUCUUUUCUUUGUCACUUAAUAGAUGAUUUCCGAUGACAUAUUUUAGUUAGAACUUCUGACAAGCUGCAAGUGUUCUCUGUAUCACUUGUCAGUUAAAAAAUUUUGUCCCCAAGAAGGAGCUAAAUUAUUUUGACUCAAUGAAACUUAGGUCCUAUAGUUCGGAUUAAUUAUUUUGCAGGUAUGAUACUAAUGGUAGUGGUUCUUUAUGCUUCGGUGACUUAUUGGUGGAGCAGAAAGUGGGAGGAAUGUCUGUCCCAUAAAGGAAGGAAAUGAAAUGAAGAUGCCAAUUAGAUAUUCUACACAUUAGAGAUUCACAGCAGGUUGUUCAAACUUUUCUGUGGAUUAGGUAUUACUAAAUAUCAUGGUGAGUUGAACGUUUAUUGUUGAUCACUCAUGGCAUUUGUGAAGGGAAAGUAUUAGCAUGUUCAUGUAGAAAGAGAUGAAUCUCAGUAAGUCAGUAUCGUAUUAGGAGAAGUUGUAUCCUAGUACAAUAUAUCACUUUUGCAACUCUGUUAAGCUGUUAUAAAACUGGGGAUACUAUGAACAAUGCUGAUUUAAGUUGUUUGUUGCAGACUGAGGUGCUAAAGGAACUAUCUAUGAUGCAUUUGUUUGUUGUUUCCAUUGGUGGAGGGGCUGUUAUAAGGCCCGUCAAUUGGUACUUAUUUCGGAUGUUCCAUAACUGUCAUUGAAGGUUGUCUUUUCUGUUUACACGAUGUUUGGUGUUAACAUUAUUAUAUGUUUUUAUUAACUGACCAGGAAACAUAUACGAAGUGGUAUUAGUUUUUGGUUAGAUGUACCAGUGGAGUGGUAUUAGUACAAAUUAAGCACCAUCCUUCAAGGAGUGAAUUUUAUUGUAAUCUGAGCUUGAUUUUUAUCCUUGUCCAAAUAUUCUUUGCUACACUGAUAACAACCUGUUUUGCAGUGGCCUUAUAUCAUUCGUGAUAACUUCUAUACUGUUUUUUUUGCAGAUGUCACGUCGGAACAUAGAUAAUCUCAGUCCAACUGCUGUUGCAAUUGUUCGAGGUUGUUCUUUGCUCUCGGUCUGUUAUGGUUCAAUCUGAAGUACAUGAGAGGAAGGAAAAAUAUAUAGUUCCUGAAGCCGGAAGAAAAUAUGCAAUGGAGGCUGUCAAUACAAGUUGGCGUAGUUAUAAAUGCAGAUUUAAGAAGAAUCAUUUCUAUGCAUAUGCCACUGAUGAGUUAAGAUGGGAGAAUAAACCAGACACUAUUUCAGCACCUCAGUUUCAAGACCUCUUGAAUUACUGGAAAUGUGAAAAAAUUAAGGAAGAAAGUAAGACCAACAGAGAAAAUCGUUUGUUGUUAAAUGAUAUGCACACGAUGGGCCGUAAGGGGUUUGCAAUUUUACGUCAUGAAUUGCAAGAGCAGGAUCCGGAUAAGCAAGAACCUUCUCAAGCAAAGGUCUAUAAAGAAUCAAGGAAAAGAGUUCCAGGGAGAACAUACCUUACCAACCCUGAGAAAAUCGAAGAGAAUAUUGCAAAAAUAGAUGCUUUAGAGUCCACCCAAGACGGAGAAGAAGGGAACAACUCCAAAGACCUUAUCUCUGAAGUGAUACAAGGUCCCAAAAGCGAAAGCAAAAGCCGCGUACCACUUUACGGAAAAGGUGUGAUAAAGAGUGACUUGAAGAAAAAAGAAAAAAAAAAUCAGGCUUCUUCCGGAAGAGUUCUUGCAGAGUAUGAAAACAGAUUUGGUGCAGCAACAUGCACCCCACGUUGUGUCUAUGAUUGUAUCUCAACUUCAAGAAGCUAAUCCCGAGAUAAAUAUAGUUACUCCUGAUUUUGUGACUCCAUCGACUCCAAAGGAUGCUGCCAGUGCGCCGCGUGGCAGUGAGCAAAAUGGGCAGUCUAGUGGGACAAGUAGGACAAUUAACCAGGAGUAUGGUGCGCUAAAUGGAGAAGAAAUGUAGAUCUAGCAAUAAGACGGUGGAGGCUCUUAUUUGUUUUGGGUCGUUUUGUAAUUCCUGUAACGUUGAAUUUGUUUCUAUGGAUUUUAAUUUUAUGUAUUUUUGUCAUUAAAAACACCAAAUUAAUUAGUGAACAACUAUUUUGUAAUGCAUGUGUUCUAUGGGCACUAAUAUUGUAAUAUUACUUUUCAAGUCAAUGAAAAUCUUUUGUUAUUA